rnacentral:rRNA from 1 species
CCUACGGGAGGCAGCAGUGAGGAAUAUUGGUCAAUGGCCGGAAGGCUGAACCAGCCAAGCCGCGUGAAGGACGACGGUGCCAAGCAUUGUAAACUUCUUUUGUCAAGGGACAAAAUCAGGCUCGAGAGCCUGACCGAGGGUACUUGAAGAAAAAGCAUCGGGUAACUCCGUGCCCGCAGCCGCGGUAAUACGGAAGGCCCGAGCGUUAUCCGGAUUCAUUGGGCUUAAAGGGAGCGUAGGCGGGCGUUCAAGUCAGCUGAAAAAUCGCGCGGCUCAACCGCGCCCCGCAGUUGAAACUGGACGCCUUGAGGUCACAACAGGCAGGCGGAAUUCGGGGUGUAGCGGUGAAAUGCAUAGAUAUCACGAGGAACCCCGAUUGCGAAGGCAGCCUGCCGGGGUGCGACUGACGCUGAGGCUCGAAGGUGCGGGUAUCAAACAGGAUUAGAUACCCCAUAGUC